rnacentral:tRNA from 1 species
AGCAGCGUGGCUCAGUGGAAAGAGCCCGGGCUUGGGAGUCAGAGGUCAUGGGUUCGAAUCCCAACUUUGCCA